UACGGAGGAUCCAAGCGUUAUCCGGAUUUAUUGGGUUUAAAGGGUGCGUAGGUGGCCUGUUAAGUCAGGGGUGAAAGACGGUAGCUUAACUAUCGCAGUGCCCUUGAUACUGAUGGGCUUGAAUGAACUAGAGGUAGGCGGAAUGUGACAAGUAGCGGUGAAAUGCAUAGAUAUGUCACAGAACACCAAUUGCGAAGGCAGCUUACUAUGGUUUUAUUGACACUGAGGCACGAAGGCGUGGGGAUCAAACAGG
rnacentral:rRNA from 1 species